rnacentral:rRNA from 1 species
GCGGUAAUACCAGCAGCUCGAGUGGUGGCCGUUAUUAUUGGGCCUAAAGCGUCCGUAGCCGGUCCGGUAAAUCUUUGGGUAAAUCGAUGGGCUUAACUCAUCGAAUUCCGAAGAGACUGCCGGACUUGGGACUGGGAGAGGUCGGAGGUACUCUAGGGGUAGGGGUGAAAUCCUGUAAUCCUUAGAGGACCACCAGUGGCGAAGGCGUCCGACUAGAACGGGUCCGACGGUCAGGGACGAAGCCGUGGGUCGCGAACCGGAUUAGAUACCCGGGUAGUCCACGGUGUAAACGCUGCAGGCUUGGUGUUGGGGGUCCUACGAGGGCGUCCAGUGCCGGAGAGAAGUUGUUAAGCCUGCCGCCUGGGGAGUACGAUCGCAAGAUUGAAACUUAAAGGAAUUGGCGGGGGAGCACAGCAACGGGUGGAGCGUGCGGUUUAAUUGGAUUCAACGCCGGAAAACUCACCGGGGGCGACUGUUAUAUGUGGGCCAGACUAAUGAUCUUGCCUGAAUUUCAGAGAGGUGGUGCAUGGCCGCCGUCAGUUCGUACCGUAAGGCGUUCUGUUAAGUCAGACAACGAACGAGACCCCUGCCUCUAAUUGCUAUUACUCUCUCCGGAGGGUAAGGACAUUAGAGGGACCGCUGGCGCUAAGUCAGAGGAAGGAGGGGGCAACGGUGGGUCAGUAUGCCCCGAAUCUCCCGGGCUACACGCGCGCUACAAAGGAUGGGACAAUGGGCUCCGACCCCGAAAGGGGAGGGUAAUCCCGAAACCCAUUCAUAGUUCGGAUUGAGGGCUGUAACUCGCCCUCAUGAAGCUGGAAUCCGUAGUAAUCGCGGGUCAACAUCCCGCGGUGAAUAUGCCCCUGCUCCUUGCACACACCGCCCGUCAAACCAUCUGAGUUGGGUUCGGAUGAGGGCUUCUCUACCUGGGGAGUCG